AAAGCCAAUUGGUGACGAUGGCAUGUGCAUGGUACAUAGAAUGGGGCAAAUCUAAAAGUUCUCAGCUACAAAGCUAUAGCAGUUGUAUCUAUCAAAUUCCAGAGACUUUGUGUACCAAACUUAAAACUUUUUUUUUUAUUGGAGAAUUUCACUUAAGGAUUCUGAUACAUUUGAAAUACAGUAAAGGAUCUGGAGGCAGAGAGAUGGAAUAAGACAUUAUUAGAAUAAUACAGCAAGAAAUGAUGGAGGCUUGAACCCAGAUGGUAGGGUUGGGGAGCCAAGAAUUGGUUAGAUUUUUGCAUUUAUUUUGAAGGUAGACGCUUUUAAGAUUUCCUGAUAGAUUUGAUGUAAAUCUAUCACAAAGAAGCUGAAAAUUACUCCAAGGAUUUUGACCCGAAAGAAUGAAGUUUCCAUUUGCUGAGAUGAGGAAAACUGGGAAGAGUAGGUGGGGACAUAAUCAGGUGUUUGAAACAUAAGCAUUUCAAACUUUACAAAUAGAAACUCAAAGUUGGAUAUAGAGUUGAGAGUUAAGGGAAGAGGUUCAGGCUAGAGAUUUUUUUUUUUUUAAAGCAUAUGGG
rnacentral:lncRNA from 1 species